AUGGUUCUUCAGAGAUUGAAGAAUGAAUAUGAGAAGAGAAGAAGAGAAUCUUGUGAUUCUUCUGCCAUUUCCAGAGUGAAGAAUGAAUGUGAGAGGAGAAGAAGAGAAUCUUGUGAUUCUUCUGCCAUUUCCAGAGUAAAGAAUGAAUGUGAGAGGAGCAGAGAGAAGGUUAAAGAUUCUUCUGCAGAAUUCAGGAGUCCAAAAAAUCUAGUUAUAGCAUAG